UACGUAGGGUGCAAGCGUUAAUCGGAAUUACUGGGCGUAAAGCGCGCGUAGGUGGUUCGUUAAGUUGGAUGUGAAAUCCCCGGGCUCAACCUGGGAACUGCAUUCAAAACUGUCGAGCUAGAGUAUGGUAGAGGGUGGUGGAAUUUCCUGUGUAGCGGUGAAAUGCGUAGAUAUAGGAAGGAACACCAGUGGCGAAGGCGGCAUCCUGGACCGAUACUGACGCUGAGGAGCGAAAGCCAGGGGAGCAAACGGG
rnacentral:rRNA from 1 species